ACAGGGUUUAAUUAGAGUUUUACGUGGUAGUAGUACUUUUUUAUAAGUUACUGUAAUUACCUUUUAGCCCACUACUCAUAAUUUCUUUUUUCCUUUUAAUUCAUUUUUUUUUUCUUUUUGGUUUUUCCAAACAGUUUCCUUGAAACGACAAAAACUCAGAUUUGCAGCUUUGUCGAGUCGUUGAGCUCUCAAAUUCCUCCAUCCUCCCAAAAACCAAUUCAUAACUUCAGAUCCAAAGAGCACAGCGAGAGAGAGAGCUCACAUUCUGUCGAAAAAAGAACCCGUAAUUGAUAAACAAAAAAGACGUUUCAAGAAUCAAUUUUCAAGAUCUCACAGCAAUGCUCUCCACCGUCCGAUCCCUCUUUAUUUUCAUCAUCUCCUCUCUGUUCCUUGCAUACCCAUCUUUUGCCAAG
rnacentral:lncRNA from 1 species